UCUCUUUCCCAGCAUUUCUGCGAUUCUGUCUCGUAAUUUUGCAGCGUGUAGGUUUUUUAAACGUUCGUUUUUGAUCGAUGUCCAUGAGAGAUUCGACCACCAAUGCAAAAAUUUGUCGAAUCUCUUAUAGACAUGAUCAAGACGAACGUUUUCAGACCAAUUUUCGUUGAGAUUUUAAGUUGAGAAAACUUUAAAGCAAGUUCAGCUUCUUGAUUGGAUCUCGAUGUUGAAGUUACGGUCCAGUCAAUCAUCUUUACAAACUUGCGAUAUUCAAUUUGCCAGUGUCACUCGCCUGAUUUUGACUAUUUCGGAUAUUUUAGGCCCUUUUAUCGCUGGCACAUCUCAAUUUAUCACACUCAUACUUCAUUGUGUUUUUCCAAUUUUCUUCAAUUGUCUAGUUGUGAUUUCAGUACUUGAAUAACAUUAAGGGCUGUUAGUCAAGCAAACGCACUCUGUCCCAAAACCGUGUUUGACGCAAAUGUUUUGAGGCAAUUUCUUCGUUUGCGAUAGUAGUGGAGUUUCUGAAACUCCGGUUUCAGAUACUCCAAUCCAGCAAACUCGCCCAUAUGGUUUGUUUUGAUUGGUAGCCUUAUUGGGCACAUUGUUGGAGUACAAAUCACUUUGUAUGAUUCAAGAAUGAAUGAUAAUGUUAGAUUGAAAUUUCUCCCUGAUCUGAAGCGAGGUUUAUAUCUGAACCUCUGGGAGAGAACACGGACUACCAUUGCAUGCCAUUUCCUAUGGGGCUAUUCUGAUCUUGAAUUCUAGGAAUAAUGAAGUGAAAUUGACUGAUACGAUAACUUUAGAUCAACGGAGAAGUUGCAGUGAAUGGAUAAGUGACAAAUAGGAGCAGACAUUAGAUGUCCUUUUCAAGUUUUUCUGGACUUUCAGCAAUUUUAACUAGAUGAUGAUAUCUUUGUGAAAGUGAGUUAAGGGAUCAUGUUUGAAUACUACAUGCUGAAUCAUUUGAACAUGAUGUGGUAGAUAGAAUGUGUUGGAACAUGAUUGUUGUGCUCCUAAGAUCGUAAAAUUUAAGAUGUUAUUGUUGCCAAUGUACACAUGAAUUCAGAAGCAGCAACAGAAGAGGCUUUCCUAGAAGGGUUACUACUUACCAUUGAUGAUCUUACCUUCCCUCAGGUUACAAGCACAUGCUCCAAUCCACAUAUAAUUGAAAAAUUUAACAUGUUUAUUAUCUUCGUUUCAAUAUAUGAUUUGGGCUUGCAAA